UGGGGAAUAUUGCACAAUGGGCGCAAGCCUGAUGCAGCCAUGCCGCGUGUAUGAAGAAGGCCUUCGGGUUGUAAAGUACUUUCAGUCGGGAGGAAGGUGGUAAGGUUAAUAACCUUAUCAAUUGACGUUACCGACAGAAGAAGCACCGGCUAACUCCGUGCCAGCAGCCGCGGUAAUACGGAGGGUGCAAGCGUUAAUCGGAAUUACUGGGCGUAACGCGCACGCAGGCGGUUUGUUAAGUCAGAUGUGAAAUCCCCGGGCUCAACCUGGGAACUGCAUCUGAUACUGGCAAGCUUGAGUCUCGUAGAGGGGGGUAGAAUUCCAGGUGUAGCGGUGAAAUGCGUAGAGAUCUGGAGGAAUACCGGUGGCGAAGGCGGCCCCCUGGACGAAGACUGAAGCUCAGGUGCGAAAGCGUGGGGAGCAAACAGG
rnacentral:rRNA from 1 species